GUCCAGACUCCUACGGGAGGCAGCAGUGGGGAAUAUUGCACAAUGGGGGAAACCCUGAUGCAGCAACGCCGCGUGAGUGAAGAAGUAUUUCGAUAUGUAAAGCUCUAUCAGCAGGGAAGAAGAUGACGGUACCUGAUUAAGAAGCCCCGGCUAACUACGUGCCAGCAGCCGCGGUAAUACGUAGGGGGCAAGCGUUAUCCGGAUUUACUGGGUGUAAAGGGAGCGUAGACGGCAUAGCAAGUCUGGAGUGAAAUGCCGGGGCCCAACCCCGGAACUGCUUUGGAAACUGUGCAGCUCGAGUGCAGGAGAGGUAAGCGGAAUUCCCAGUGUAGCGGUGAAAUGCGUAGAUAUUAGGAGGAACACCAGUGGCGAAGGCGGCUUACUGGACGGUAACUGACGUUGAGGCUCGAAAGCGUGGGGAGCAAACAGGAUUAGAUACCCCUGUAAAG
rnacentral:rRNA from 1 species